rnacentral:rRNA from 1 species
UGGGGAAUUUUGGACAAUGGGCGAAAGCCUGAUCCAGCAAUGCCGCGUGUGUGAAGAAGGCCUUCGGGUUGUAAAGCACUUUUGUCCGGAAAGAAAUCCUUGGCUCUAAUAUAGUCGGGGGAUGACGGUACCGGAAGAAUAAGCACCGGCUAACUACGUGCCAGCAGCCGCGGUAAUACGUAGGGUGCAAGCGUUAAUCGGAAUUACUGGGCGUAAAGCGUGCGCAGGCGGUUUGCUAAGACCGAUGCGAAAUCCCCGGGCUAACCUGGGAACUGCAUUGGUGACUGGCAGGCUAGAGUAUGGCAGAGGGGGGUAGAAUUCCCACGUUAGCAGUGAAAUGCGUAGNGAUGUGGAGGAAUACCGAUGGCGAGGCAGCCCCCUGGGCCAAUACUGACGCUCAUGCACGAAAGCGUGGGGGAGCAAACAGGAUUAGAUACCCUGGUAGUCCACGCCCUAAACGAUGUNAACUAGUUGUGGGGAUUCAUUUCCUUAGUAACGUAGCUAACGCGUGAAGUUGACCGCCUGGGGAGUACGGUCGCAAUGAUUUAAAAACUCAAAUGAAUUGACGGGGUCU